rnacentral:tRNA from 1 species
CAGAGAAUAGUUUAAGUUAAAAUAUUAAUUUUGGAGAUUAAUGAUAGAAGUUUUUUUUCUCUGA